UACGUAGGGGGCUAGCGUUGUCCGGAUUUAUUGGGCGUAAAGAGCUCGUAGGCGGUUUGUCGCGUCGGCCGUGAAAUCUCCACGCUUAACGUGGAGCGUGCGGUCGAUACGGGCAGACUUGAGUUCGGUAGGGGAGACUGGAAUUCCUGGUGUAGCGGUGAAAUGCGCAGAUAUCAGGAGGAACACCGGUGGCGAAGGCGGGUCUCUGGGCCGAUACUGACGCUGAGGAGCGAAAGCGUGGGGAGCGAACAGG
rnacentral:rRNA from 1 species